CAUGCAAGUCUAAGUAUAAGCAAGUAUACUGUGAAACUGCGAACGGCUCAUUAAAUCAGUUAUCGUUUAUUUGAUAGUACCUUUCUACACGGAUACCUGUGGAAAAUCUAGAGCUAAUACGUGCAUUCCAAUCGCGACUUCGGAAGCGAUGUGCUUAUUAGAUUCAAAACCAAUGCCCCUCGGGGCUUCCUGGUGAUUCAUGAUAAUCCUACGAAUCGCAUGGCCUUGCGCCGGCGAUGGUUCAUUCAAAUUUCUGCCCUAUCAACUUUCGAUUAUUGUGUCGUGGACAAUAAUGGUAGCAACGGGUAACGGGGAAUUAGGGUUCGAUUCCGGAGAGGGAGCCUGAGAAACGGCUACCACAUCCAAGGAAGGCAGCAGGCGCGCAAAUUACCCAAUCCCGACUCGGGGAGGUAGUGACAAUAAAUACUGAUACAGGGCUCUUUUGGGUCUUGUAAUUGGAAUGAGUACAAUUUAAAUCCCUUAACGAGGAACAAUUGGAGGGCAAGUCUGGUGCCAGCAGCCGCGGUAAUUCCAGCUCCAAUAGCGUAUAUUAAAGUUGUUGCAGUUAAAAAGCUCGUAGUUGAACCUUGGGCCUGGCUGGCCGGUCCGCCUCAUCGCGUGCACUGGUCCGGCCGGGCCUUUCCUCCAGGGAAGCCGCAUGCCCUUCGCUGGGUGUGUCGGGGAACCUGGACUUUCACUGUGAAAAAAUUAGAGUGUUCAAAGCAGGCAAAAAGCUCGCAUAGAUUAGCAUGGAAUGAUGAAAUAGGACGGCAGUUCUAUUUUGUUGGUUUCUAGGACCGCCGUAAUGAUUAAUAGGGAUAGUCGGGGGCGUCAGUAUUCAACUGUCAGAGGUGAAAUUCUUGGAUUUGUUGAAGACUAACUACUGCGAAAGCAUUCGCCAAGGAUGUUUUCAUUAAUCAGUGAACGAAAGUUAGGGGAUCGAAGACGAUCAGAUACCGUCGUAGUCUUAACCAUAAACUAUGCCGACUAGGGAUCGGGCGAUGUUAUCUUUUUGACUCGCUCGGCACCUUACGAGAAAUCAAAGUUUUUGGGUUCUGGGGGGAGUAUGGUCGCAAGGCUGAAACUUAAAGAAAUUGACGGAAGG
rnacentral:rRNA from 1 species